GGCGAUACGGUCUUUCCGGUGAGUUCCUCCGCAGGGAAGGUUGUCAGACUCCGGGUGCCUUGCAUUUUCAAUUUAACCAAUAAGUAAUCGUUGAAUUGUGACACAAUUGGUUCUGUUUUAUAAAGUUCGACUGAACAAGUACCCGAGCACCACGAAACGUUCUCCAGAUCAACAAGUGAAAAGAGAACUAUUAUUCCAAGAAACUUCAGACACCUAAGGAACUCACUAUGUACGGCAGCAGCUACGGCAGUUACGGCGGCGGGUUCGGCGGCGGCCGCAUGGGCAUGAAGAGCAGCCAGCCGGGCGGCAACCUGCGCCGCCCCGACUGGUCGUCCAUCAAGCUGACGCCCAUUCAGAAGGACUUUUACCAGCCGCUGCCUCAGGUGCAGGCCCGCAGCCAGUCUGAGAUCGAGGCCUACCGCGCCAGCAAAGAGGUGACGGUGCGCGGUUCGUCCGUGCCCUCACCGAUGCUGGAGUUCAGCGACUGCACCAUGCCGGACUACAUCCUCAGCACCAUCAAGAAGAACGGUUUCCAGAACCCGACUCCUAUCCAGGCGCAGGGCUGGCCGAUCGCCCUGUCCGGCCGCGACAUGGUCGGCAUCGCCCAGACCGGCUCUGGCAAAACACUCGGCUACAUGCUGCCCGCCAUCAUCCACAUCAACCACCAGGACUACCUGCGUCCUGGCGACGGCCCCAUCGCGCUCAUCCUGGCUCCCACCCGUGAACUGGCCCAACAGAUCUCCGAGGUGGCCAACGAGUUCGGCCGCUCCUCCAAACUGAGGCAUACCUGUGUGUACGGAGGAGCACCCAAGGGCGCCCAGCUCCGGGAUCUGGAGCGAGGUGUGGAGAUCUGCAUCGCCACGCCCGGCCGGCUGAUUGACUUUCUGGAGAUGGGCAAGACCAACCUGCGUCGCUGCACCUACCUGGUGCUCGACGAGGCUGACCGGAUGCUGGACAUGGGUUUCGAGCCGCAGAUCAGGAAGAUUGUGGAGCAGAUCCGGCCCGACAGGCAGACGCUCAUGUGGAGUGCCACCUGGCCCAAGGAGGUUCGUCGUCUGGCGGAGGAGUUCCUGACCGACUACACCCAGCUGAAUGUGGGCUCUCUGGACCUGUCGGCCAACCACAACAUCCUGCAGAUCGUCGACGUCUGUGAGAGCCACGAGAAGUUCCAGAAACUGUUCCGCCUGCUGGAAGAAAUCAUGGCCGAGAAGGAGAACAAGACCAUCAUCUUCACCGAGACGAAGCGCGGCUCGGACGAGCUGACCCGCCAGAUGCGCCGCGAGGGAUGGCCGGGCAUGUGCAUCCACGGCGACAAGUCACAACAGGAGCGCGACUGGGUGCUACGGGAGUUCCGCAGCGGCCGCUCGCCCAUCCUCGUCGCCACUGAUGUGGCCGCGCGCGGUCUGGAGACUGGCAGCGGUAGCCGUGGAGGCGCUCUGGGCGCCCGCCGGCCCAGCACUGUCGACCCGCCGACGUGAGCGACGUGAAAUUCGUCAUCAACUUCGACUACCCCAACAACUCUGAGGACUACAUCCACCGAAUCGGCCGUACGGGCCGUAGCAACAACAGCGGCACCGCCUACACGUUCUUCACGCCGGAGAACGCGGCCAAGGCGCGCGAUCUGGUCUCUGUGCUGCGAGAGGCCAACCAGGUGGUCAACCCGAAACUGGUCGACCUGCAGAACUCGAGCCGCGCCUACGGCGGCGGACGCAGCCGCUACGGAGGCGGCGGCGGCCGUCGCUCGGGCGGAGGUUUCGGCGGCAGCCGCGGGGGCAGCCGGUGGUGAGCAGUCGCCGCUGACUAGGUCUAGCCAUUAAAUGUUUAAUUUUCACACUCGUCAUGUCUCAUUUCUGACGCGCCGCGGCGUCUCGCGUUGUGCCGCUCGAGUCGCACGGACGCGCCGCACAUUCCCAUUAACAUCUGGAUGGAGAUGAACGGCGGGAUGGGCCGUGCGGCUGCGCCCCCGCCCUGCUGCGAGAGGCAGGAAGGCGCCCUACGGUCUGUCUCGCCCCUGUAUAGCGCCGGUCGCGUCCACCCGUACGGCGCCCUCUGAUCUUCAGUGGUGUAUUGAUGUGAUGUGGCUCCAACAGAGCCGACAAGCCGGAUUGAACGGCUCUCAGAAAGAUGGUCCAAGUUCUGUGUCUGAAGGCGCGACCACCCACCGCCACAGACUAAUAUAGAGAUAGUAGCUGCUGUUCGCCUGUGCACCGACACCAAACGCAGGCCACUCCGUACAAGGAAAUGCACGUUUUAAAACGAAA
rnacentral:misc_RNA from 1 species